AGAGUCACAGAUUUUGGUUACACUGCACAGCCUUAUUGUUAUGAGGGAAGGGGGAGUAUAUAAAAUUGUAUUAAAGACAUUUUCAAAUGGAUGGGUUAUUCUGCAUGAUCUGGAAACAUCUGGACAGAGGGAACCCAAUGGCAAGUCUUACAUUUUAAGGUUGUUCUUUGGAUGGUCUCUUAAUUUGAUACAGUCUUUGCUUCAUAUCCUGUGACCCCUGUGAUCCAGAGAGAGAAACACAUUUGUUGGUUAUUUGGUUUCAGGGAACAUCGUCCCAGCAGAAGCCACAAUGAACAGAGAACUAUGUCACAAUUGAGGUUGCCAUGAUAUAAACU